UGAGCGUUCACCUCCUUCUUCCAUCAAUUCUUUCUCAUCCAAUGAAUUUGCAAACAUUCCAAACUGUGUGCUACCCCCAUCCUUAUCUCGGGAUUACGAACGAAUCUUGAGAAAACCAAAUUUUACGCAGAUUUACUCGCCUGUCGACUACCGCAGAUAACCGAAAAUGAUGUAUGACUUAAACCCCUCAGUCUUUAAACUUCUAGUUAUUUUUCUAAUUUUCUAUGGAUCUACGUAUCUCUAUAUCAUUGUCCAACUUGCUAUAUUUGUGCGACAUCGUAUUCCCGAAUACCUGCGUUUUCUUGUGUAGUUUACUUCAGGAAUUUAUGUGAUAAACUUGCAGAGAUUGGUUCGGUGAGAAAAUAUUUACGUCUACAUCGAAUGUAACAACAGUCGACACCGAGAAUAUCAUCUGUAUCACUUUCCGAAAGAAGACGAUGCCCUUCAUAAAGAAUGAACUUGAAAAGUUGGUAAUCACUUCCUAAAAUAUUAUGCCAGCGCCAUUUUAAGAAGCAUGGAUGUCCGUGUCGAUCAUUAUUUACCCGAAAUCAUCAAACAAAUCCAUAUAAAAAUACGAAUAGAUGAAAAAGCAUAAUGUAUCCGAUCAACCAACAUCUUUAUUACAAAGUAAAAGAGAAAGGGAAGAUGUACAAAAAAGACAGCUCGUUAUCAAAAAACAGUUGAUCAGAAAAGGAGGGCAAGAGCGAAAAGAGCGACAUCAAUGCUGCUACUAUCACUACCAACAGUAGCAAGAAGCGGUUGACGGUGGAGUAAAAUAAGAAGACGAAAUUGAAUUAUUUGUUAAUGUACCAAUGCUAGACUAUACAAGAGUAACAUCAUGAUUCGCUGACAACGAGGAUUCAAUUGAAAGGCCAACAAUUGAAUCACGGACAAGCUGCGACUUUUAAAUUGUGGAAAGCCUAGGGAGGACUUUCCGAGAAAUAGAAUUGCAAGAUGAACAUGCUCAGCUGUUGAAAGAAAAUAAAAAUUUGGAAGCACGAAUAAAAUAUGUCAAAUAAAAUCUCAAAAGAACCGAAAUGUCCAGAAAUCAAUUGCGUGUAAAGUUGAAGGGAUUGCAUGCCUUGAGGUGGAAUCAUUUAUGUAAGGUCAAAAUACAUGCUCAAGUUCGGAAAAGAAAAAGUUGCAAAAAGAUGGACCAAGAGACAGAAACAAAAAAAUAUA